AACAAGUUGUCCCAAUUCCACCCCCCAAAGAGAAACCCUCCUCACCCGUGACUUUGCUUUUCCUCACACCGUCUCCAUCAAUUCUUCUUCAAGAAAUCCUCAGCCACAACUCCUAAAUUCUUGUUGCUUCAACAACCUUAUCUGGUGCAUUAGUUGCAUAAUUCAUUUAAAGGGUUUUGUCGAGAUCGGGCUUUGCAAUGAUGGCUAUAUCAUUAUUAAGGGGUAUGCAAUAAUGAUUUUAUCGUUAUUAAUGUCUUUGCAGUGAUGACCUUUGCUUCAUAAUUCCUUUAAUGGGAUUUUCCAAAAUAUCCUGUCUUUGCCUUUUUCAUUAGACAAAGGCCAAAAAAGCAAAUGGCUCUAUAAGGACAGAAGGUGAAGAUGCAUAGGUGUGGUUUAUGUGAUUUUCAUGUUUGGCAACUUGGUUUGUUA
rnacentral:lncRNA from 1 species